AACUGACAGGUUGGGGAAGGGGUCUCAGCCUUGGUAGGGUAGGAUCCCCACAGAACCUCCCCUCCCUCCCAGGCCCCCCAGCAUCUGGCUUCUGUAGGGGGCCAUGCUGUCAGUCACAACUUUUGCACCAGACCUGGACUGAGAGCCAGGCAGAAAGAGGGUCCGCAGUCCCAACGGUAUGCGCCUCCCCCACUGGCCUCGCUCACUCGCUGCACAACAGCGCAUUCACGUGGCCGCCAGAGUAACUGCAAUCAGGCAGUCUGCCUCAGGCAAGCCGUUCCCGGAGAUAACUGUUCUCUCAUCCAAAGGGCCUCCAGUUCGGAGCCAAGUCCCCUGCAGUUCUUCCUGGGAAAUACUCUUUCCUACGGGUGUAACGGAUUUUUCCUGAAACUUCUAUCAGCCUUCCCUUUUGUAGUCAACCAGGCCCUGCCUCGUGGGGUUCAGACAGCCUCCUUGAGACACUCAAGAAAACAGGCUUGUUUCAAAUCUCAAGUGCUGACGUUUAGGGGAGAAGGUGAGGCUCCCAACUAAUGGUCUAACACAUUUGCCCCGUCCCGAUCCCCACCCCAAAACCAAGAGCCGGACCUCGAUGAUUUACAAGGGAAGCUCUACUGUGUAGUGGAGCCACAGACUGGGCUCCAGUUCUUGCUUUCCCCUUACCUGAGUAAGGGAGCAAGCCAUUUGCCUUCAGGCGUCUCAGCUUCCCUAUCUCUACAUGGAUGGAGCGCUGCAGUGAAGGGGAUCCAUGAAGGCAGACAAGGUGAUGCAGAGGACAUACAGGAAGAAGCCAUAGCAAGACACAAGUCCCAAGACAGGACUUUACUGGCCUCCUUCCUCCAACCAGGUCCCACCUCCUAUCUUUGAGCACUUCCCAACAAUUUAUGGAGGCGUGAAUUCUCUAAAUUCUAAACCCUUGUAGCCUGUCCCUGGAAGCACCAUCACAGAUUCCGUCCCACCCCCAAAGAUAUCCUCUCACUGAAUCUGGAGCUAAGCUUGGUUGGCUGGCCAUCAAGCCCCAGGGAAGCUGCUCUGCCUGCCUCCUCACUGGGAUCACAGAACCCAAACCCAGUUCUGUGAGGGUCAAAGCUAGGAGUGACUUUGAGAACCUGAGACUCCUCAAUGGCUGCUACUUCGCUGGAGAACCUUGGCUGCGUGUCUUCAUGAAGCACAACUGAGAAAUGCCUCCUGUGUGUGACAGCAGAAAUCUCUGCUGGCCAGCUCUGAGACCACGGGUCUGAAGGUGUUUCUGGGGGUGCUGGGGUGUACAGCAGGUGCCCAGCUGCCACUUUUCCUGCAAAGUGCUGACUUCUUACUUAGGCCCAUAAGGGCCUAGAAGUGGUUGGGAGCCUUCGCCUUUGCCUUCAGUGAGUGGUCUGUCUUCUUUACUGUGAGUCAGACUCUGACCCUUGACAGGCAUGUUAGGUCACUCAGGAAUGUCUAACUCAUCUCCCUGGGAGGCCGAAUACAUACCCGGAAAUAAUGUAUUCUACUAACCUGAACUUUACUGAGAACUCCAGAUACUGCAGACUCUGCAGAUCACCAGGAUGAGAACAUUUACCUACGAUAGGGAAACUUCACCCUGCUGAAUAUUCAUUUUGCAGGAACAAAGGGAAUACCAGAGACUAACAUGGUAACAGCUUAUUGGCUUGUCAACUACCUUGUAGGAGCAGAGCAGAGGCAAUAAUGGGCAGGACCACACCAGGGUCAAGACUGAUGAAUGGUGUACACUUCCUGUCCCAUGUUCUAAUCCUCUAUUUAAACUAAAGUUCAUGCCCCUGUCCCAAAGGCAGGUUGAGGGGGUCACUGGAGCCUCUCUGCUCCUCUUCCCAACACAUUUUUUCCUUGACUUUUAACUAUUACUCUUUGACAUGUUGGGACUGUGCCUGAGCCUGACUUGUUUGGGAUAACAGGCGGGAAUCUUACCAACACUUCACUUGCCGUAUGAAUACAGCACAGGAUCUUUGUUUCCCACCCAGGAGACCAUCGCCAUUUUGGUCCAACUAUAUUGAAUUUCACAUGUUGGUUUCCCUGGGCUCCUUCACCCCGCUACAUGAAGUGAUUGUGUAUAGAACUUCUUCAAAUUAAUCCAGCAGUACAUUGUUAGGAUAAUUUUAUAGCUGUGGUCAUAUUUCAGAGAUUGGCCAUAUAACCCUAGAUGGACACUUUAAUUAAGUAUUUUAAGGAUAAAAGCUAUACAAGAUUGAGAUUUCCCCUUUGGCUGGAAGUUUUGAAAGCUAGCGGAUCUCCACCGGACACUACAGCGGUAUUCAGAGGCCAAGAAGUGGCAGUGUCAUGUUCUAGGCUCAUGGAAGGACUGUUACCCCCAGCCAUGGCUAAGGCCCAUGGGGGAGACUGUUACCACCAAGUCUUGCUAACAUUGUUCCCAGGAUUCAAUCCUCUUUCUCUCACUGGCUGUGGGUUUGAGUGGUCAGUCUUGGAAACUCCUAGGGUUCCUGAAGGUGGCUUGACUUUGACUGUUGAGCUUCCACCAGGGUCAAAGAUGUUCCCAGGAUUAUGGAGAAUUCUGGGUAAUCAGAGAUGAAUGCCACGGAUAGAUGUAAAGAAGAAACUGAAAAGAUCAUGGAGUAGAAGGAGCCCACUUCCCUGAGCCGCCAAUAAAGACAUUCAAAGAGAAGAAGAAAGAAGCAGGCUCUGGGAAACCUAGGACUGCUCGUUUGCUGUGUGUUGGGUCAGGAAGUCUAUGAUCAACACCAUGGGGACCCCUUGCCCAGCUGGCAGGGGCAAACUGCUAGAGAUCAUCACAAAGGCUGGUUGACCUUCCCAGGAGCUCAUGGUGGGAGCCUGACAGACCCUUCCAUACUGUCUGCAUUGUGACCUCUGCUGUGCCUCUGUGGAGGUUGAAGACUGGGGCCAUAUCUGCUUCAUGGGUGUCAAAGUCACUCCCUUCCAUUGAAUUGUUUACAUUCAGAAAUUGGAAUACGUGGGCACAAGGUCAAAUGCCUGGAACUCUAGUACUCGACAGGCUAAAGGAUGAAGACCCAGAAUCUACAAAGACCCUAGUCCUUUUUGUCCCAGAAACACACACACAUGCACAGGCACAGGCACACGCACAUGCGCACACGUACACGCACACACACACACACACACACACACACACACACACACACACACACACACUAAUUUCAACUAAAUAAUGUCUCAUGAGAAGCCAGAGAACAGUGGCUCUGUCUUCAGGUAGGGCAGUUGCUAUCAUGCACCAGACUGGGUACGUACGUUUUGGUCCAUCCUGCUCAUGCCCACCCCUUAUUUAGGGUCCUGCCUCACGUGCACCUCACCUGCCAGGAUCCUGUAGGUAUAUUAAUGUGUAGUCCCUGAUUCCAGGCCGGAAACAAUGAAAACUUGUGUGGGGUACUUGCCCAAGUUUUCAAGACAGAGACAGAAGUAGAUCCUUGGUUGGUUCACAUGCAUUCUGUUGCCAUCGGGUCCUCAUCAAAUUUGAAUAUACAUGAACCAUCUGAAGUCUGUGGGUUUAGACUGAAUAAGUCUGUGUCAAGUUCAUGUAAGCUGUCUGGACAGGUCAAAGAUCUUUAGAAAUAUUAGUGGUAAUGCGAAGGCUCACCAAGACAUGUCUUUCCAAGUAUAUAGACAUAUGAGAAUUCUUAUUAACUGUUCAAACAAAUGAAGUAAACCGAAAGGCACACGUGUACAUACACACACACGUGCGUGCACACACACACACACACACACACACACACACACACUGCAAACUCUACAGAAGGAAUUGCCAAACUAUCCCCUAAAGCCUGUUUUGUGAAUAAAGCCUGACUGUCACCAACCCAUGUCCAUUUGCUCACAGGAACUUUGAGGACAGCACUGAGGGGCUACGACAGAGACCGUGUAGUUCACUAGGCCCAGAUGUUGACUAGCAGGCUACUGGAAGAACAAACUUUCGUCUCUACACUGUGGGCAGCAGGACAGAAAGAUGAAGACACUGUAGGGAUAUGAGAAGGGAGAAGAACCCCAUCACCCCAGAGAAUCCACAUGAAGUCCUUUGGCAGCGGAGAAACAAGAAUUCCAGCGAUAUUAUCAUUUGCUGUGAAGGCUGCCAACACAGCAUUCCUUUCAUGCAGAGAUAUUUUAUGUUAAGACAGCAAUGAUCCAGUCUCAAGGCCUGAAUCUAUAUGACCUUGAGCCUCCUUCCUUCCCCCAGACAUUUUCUGGGAAUCUCAAACAAGAGUGUUAACUUUGUUACAGUGCAGAUGGCCUGCUUCUCCACGUCCUCUGAUCUCCACUAACCUUAUCAGCUACAGUCCUAGCUGGACACCGCCCUCAAGGACACGCUGUGAGCUUACAAGGAGCUUUAGGCACCUCUGAAGAACAACUUCCAACUCAGCAAAACUCUAUCCAAGAAGAUGCGAGGGGCUCUCGGAGCGGCCUGCAUCCUGCUCCUGGUUGGGUCUUCCUUCCAUUAAACCUUUCUCUUAGCCCUCA